rnacentral:rRNA from 1 species
UACAGAGGUCUCGAGCGUUAGGCGGAAUCACUGGGCUUAAAGCGUGUGUAGGUGGAUCGUUAAGUACCUUGUGAAAUCCCACGGCUUAACCGUGGAACUGCUUGGUAUACUGGCGGUCUUGAGCCAGCUAGGGGCUACCGGAACAAAUGGUGGAGCGGUGAAAUGCUUAGAUAUCGUCAAGAACACCUAUAGCGAAGGCAGCUUACUAGGCUGUAACUGACGCUGAGGCACGAAAGUGUGGGGAUCAAACAGG